GGCGAAUUCGCGCCGCCAGUUCGCGUCAUCGCGUCUAUGCUCGAGUUCAAAAAAUUGAACUCCGGCGAAUUUUCGCGCCGCGAUGGCCAAUCAGCAUGGAGAUCCUCCGGCGACGUCACCGGAUGUUUCCGAAGGAGGGCCGGCCCGGAGGAAGCGGCUCAUUCAACCCGAAAAUGGAGCAGAGACCGGGGCUGUCUGUUUCUGUGUGCCCCGAGCUCUACCACACACCCUGCCUGUUCCACCGGCACAGGAAGAAAAGGAUUGGAGGAAAGUCAGGGAGGAUGUCGGAUUGUCUGGUAAGUUGUACAAACAUCCGUCUAUCACGUGUUUUCUGCCAUCUGUUACCAGGUUAGCACCAUAGUUAGCACAGCCCGAGUUAGCACAACAGUCAGGCAUGCUAAUUUCCCCCUCACUACUGGACAGUUGUGUGUUUUAUUCAGGUGGGUUAUGAUGAAGGAAAUGGAAGAAACAGAGGGACACGUAUUUGCAGAAGAGGAGAAAGGAGACAGAGUGGAGGAGCAGGGCCAUCAGGACCCUCCAUCACCAAAGGGGGUCGAGGACAGUCGGGCUGCAGAGGACCUCCAUGAAGAUCAGGGCCAGCAGAUGAGAACAUCAUGUACUCCUCUCUGAAACACUACUACCUGCUGCUGCUUCUGCUCCUCCAACACCUGGCCCAUCCACUCCAGCUGCUGUUCCCACAGAGACCCCAAGGAGGAGACCCCUGAGUGACUCCAGACAGCAGCUGACGGAGGUGGAGAGGAUGUUGCUGGAGGCCCUGAGGACCAGUCCGCCUGCAGCAGGAGGUGGAGAGGAUGAAAAGUCUGCUUCCUUCUCUGCAGAGAUUGCUGCUUCAGAUGAACAAAUUUGUCUUCAAAUUCAUAGACUGAUGUAUAAAUAUAGCACUGUUCUGCUUAAUCCAGAACAACUGGAACCUACGGACUAGUUCUGGUUUCUACAAACUG